AGCAAUUGUACCAAAUCAAAUCAUUUUAAAAAUGAAAAAAGUCCAAAAUAAAUGUAUUAAAAUAAAUAAGUUUUUUAACGAAAUACACGCGUGCUGUUUGGCUUUGGCCCAUAUUACGGUGUGUCAUGUAAAUGUGUAGGCGCAGCUACUACAGUGAGUUUAGCUUCGGUAAUAUGAAGCUGUUGUCGCAAAUACUGCAUACUUUACGGCUUUUGCGUCAUAUGUGUGCGACUACGGGAGGUAGUUGUGUACAAUACGAAACCCAAGUAAACAGCCGAUUGAAUUGUGUUUGUUUACGGCGCUGGAUCUCGUAUCGCAGUUUAUACUUUUAUUAAAUGAAUGAAUCGCACUUCUGAUCGGCGCGGCGUGUGAUGUAGACGGAAAUGAGCGAACUGCAGCUGCUGAAAAGCUACCUGACCGGGCGCCUGAUGGCCACGGUGGACGAGAUCAUGGAGAUGGUCGGGGGGACGCUGGCCGAGUACCGGGAGGAGAUCGGCCGCGUCCGGCGGGAGAACGAGCUGCUGAGGCGGCGGAUCCGGGAGGGCGGAGGGGGAGCGGGCUGCGAUCCGCUCGAAGCCGACCGGGCCGUGCCUCGUGUGGAGCCGGGCCUUGAGCUUCUCGAAGCCGUCCAGUGGGGCAGGAGUGACGUGAAGCCCGGGGUGCUUGGGACGAACCCGGAGAACCCCUGCACACAGUCUGUGUCCGUCGACUCUUCUGUGAAGAGGGAGAAUAGCGAGGACCCUGGAGAGGAGAGGACUGGUGUCAGACAGAUAAAAACGGAGCCGGCGGACCCCCAGGCUGAGGACGUUCCGACCCAGUACGACAUGUUGCCCCGUUUGUCUGAGCUGGACGCCAGCUACAGAAGACCUCCACCGAGAGCUGGUCCGGGAUCGGCUGCCGCAGACUCUGAUGAAUGGGGGAACGGAGCUGUCCCCACGUCUUCUAGAGUCCAUCCGUACCCCCGGACGGAACACUCCGAGCCGGACGGGCCCACCACGUCCCACGGCGCGGAAUUCCGUUACCACAGAGACGUCUCCCACGCGGGGCUGAAGUCGAGGUCCAGCCCGGCCUGGAAGUAUUUCUACCUGAAAGAGGGCGACUGCAGCAAGGCCAUCUGCAGCAUCUGCAAAGCGGAGCUGUCGCGCGGCCGCAAGGAGUUCACCACGUCGGCGCUGCUCAAGCACUUACGCAAGAAACACUACAAAUGCAAGAUGGUGAAGAAACGUGUGCCUUCGAAAUGACGUUUUAAAGCUUUAAGUCCAGAGCAUAACUUGAAGCAUCAAGUCUUGUGGGGCUGUGCACGAUGGGAUCUUGUAAAAACGGUGUGUUCGUGGCCGAUAACGGUAUUGCAGUGAUUAUGCAAAAUGAAGCUGAAAUUGAAGUCGUAAGUGCACCCCCCCAAAUAAAGCGUUGAAGCGUAAAAUUAGGGCUGGGAGA
rnacentral:lncRNA from 1 species